UACGUAGGGUGCAGGCGUUAAUCGGAAUUACUGGGCGUAAAGCGUGCGCAGGCGGCUUCCUAAGUCAGAUGUGAAAUCCCCGGGCUCAACCUGGGAACUGCGUUUGAAACUGGGAGGCUAGAGUGCGGCAGAGGGGGGUGGAAUUCCACGUGUAGCAGUGAAAUGCGUAGAUAUCUGGAGGAACACCGGUGGCGAAGGCGACAUCCUGGACCGGUAUUGACGCUGAGGCGCGAAAGCCAGGGGAGCAAACGGG
rnacentral:rRNA from 1 species